rnacentral:rRNA from 1 species
AGUGAACGCUGGCGGUGGGCCUAACACAUGCAAGUCGAACGGCAGCACAGUAAGAGCUUGCUCUUACGGGUGGCGAGUGGCGGACGGGUGAGGAAUACAUCGGAAUCUACUUUUUCGUGGGGGAUAACGUAGGGAAACUUACGCUAAUACCGCAUACGACCUACGGGUGAAAGCAGGGGAUCUUCGGACCUUGCGCGAUUGAAUGAGCCGAUGUCGGAUUAGCUAGUUGGCGGGGUAAAGGCCCACCAAGGCGACGAUCCGUAGCUGGUCUGAGAGGAUGAUCAGCCACACUGGAACUGAGACACGGUCAAGACUCCUACGGGAGACAGCAGUGGGGAAUAUUGGACAAUGGGCGCAAGCCUGAUCCAGCCAUACCGCGUGGGUGAAGAAGGCCUUCGGGUUGUAAAGCCCUUUUGUUGGGAAAGAAAAGCAGCAGGUUAAUACCCAGCUGUUCUGACGGUACCCAAAGAAUAAGCACCGGCUAACUUCGUG